rnacentral:lncRNA from 1 species
AGCGCGGGAGGGCGUGGCCGGCGUGGCCGGCGUGGCCGGCGAGGCCCGCGCUCACAGGUGUCGCAGUACCUGAGCCGCAGGGGCGCAGCGACUCUGGCUUUGGUUUGCUCCGUCCGGAAGUUGCUAACCUCGUGGGAAGCCCAGGAAGCACUUUUCUCUCAGAUGAGAUGAUCAUAUGGUUCUUUUGAAAUGGUGAGCAAACUGAAGGAAGUCAAGUAGCUUGUCCAAAGUCGAAUUCGGACAGCCAACAUGUUUGAGAUAUUUAAAGCUUCCUGGGGCUCAUGAAGGAUGGGAGCAAACCCCUUUACUCCAGAGUCCUUCCCCUUCCCCACGGUAUGAUUUACAGAGCCAUAAGCAGCUUCCCUACCAAGCCUCCUAAAACAAGAGGUUAUGGGUGGGGAUUUCCCUGGUGGCGCAGUGGUUACGAAUCCACCUGCCAACGCAGGGGACACAGGUUCGAGCCCUGGUCCAGGAAGAUCCCACAUGCCGUGGAGCAGCUAAGCCCGUGUGCCACAAUUACUGAGCCUGUGCUCUAGAGCCCGCGAGCCAUAACUACUGAAGCCUGUACGCCACAACUACUGAAGCCUGCACGCCUAGACCCCGUGCUCCGCAACAAGAGAAGCCACCGCGAUGAGAAGCCCGCAGACCGCAACGAAGAGUGGCCCCCGCUCACGGCAACUAGAGGAAGCCUGCGCGCAGCGACAAAGACCCAGCGCAGCCAAAAAUAAAUAAAUAAAUAAAUAAAUAAAUAAGAGGUUAUGGGUGGACCAGAAUUUCCUGAUUAAGACUUUGAAGAUAAAUUGCUAGCUUUGUAGCACAGGGGAAAUGCCACAGGGGCUAUGGGGAUGGUCUCUGGUACCGGACAGCGUGGAUCUGAAUCCCAGACCUUCUGUCGCCUAGCUCUGGGGUCUUAGUGUGUUGAAGCUCUCUGGCUGAACUGGAGAUAAUCAUACUUCUAUUUCCUAGAUUUAUCAUGGGGAGUUGAUGCGUUUCUAAAGCAAAAGCAUGUAUAAGAGUGCUCAGUGCAUAGCAGGCACAUUCAGUAAACGUCAGCGUGCUUAGUAUUCAGUGCCGUUUAUCAGACAUUCCUGGCUUUCUGUCUUCCGGGGACAUGGUAGUGUCCCACUUGUGGCUCGCUAGAGCCAUGACACAAGUUCUGGCCAAUGAAUUUUGGGUAGAAGCGUUGUGUGUCACUUCUGGGCCAGAGCAGUUCAAUGCUCCAGAGUACUUUCCCUUUGUCAGGAUGGCAGAAAUUCCAGAUGGUGGCUGCCCCCUUAUCCUGGGUUUCGGGCUGACGAGGAUGAACAUAAACCUUCGUUGUCUCAGGCUUCUGAGAUUUGAGAUUGUUACUGCAGCAUGAUUGAGCCUCUCCUGACUAACAUGUGAACUACUGUUAAUAUUUCUAGGAUAUACUCCUCAAAGCAUUUAGUAACUCUUUUGAAGGGUCCUUAGUAGGACUUGGAAAUGCUUGCAUUUUUGUAGGAUAACUGACGGUAGCCCCUUUCGGCAUGACCCCCUGUGUAGUGCGCCCCAACUUCAGUGCUCUGCAUUCCGAGUUCUGUCAGUUUGCUUACAGAGUUCUCACUUUCCUGAAUGGAAAGCAAUAAAAGUGACUGCGAAAACAUUAACAGUCUUAACGUAAUUGGAUUCUUGCCACUAAUCAAAGGGUUUUAAAAAUCAGAAAUUCCUGGCUCCCCUGGUGGCGCAGCGGUUAAGAAUCCGCCUGCCAAUGCAGGGAAUACGGGUUCCAGCCCUGGUCCAGGAGGAUCCCACAUGCCACGGAGCAACUAAGCCCAUGCGCCACAACUACUGAGACUGCACUCUAGAGCCCGUGAGCCACAACUACCGAAGCCCACGUGCCUAGAGCCCAUGCUCUGCAACAAGAGAAGCCACAGCAAUGAGAAGCCUGCGCACCGCAACGAAGAGUAGCCCCCGCUCGCCACUAGUAGAGAAAGCCCACGCACAGCAACGGAGACCCAACGUGGCCAUAAAUAAGUAAAUGAAUAAAUAAAUUUAUUUU